GAUCUCUCACUUCCAUUUGCUGAUUUAUUUUGGAAUUCCUCUCAUUCCUCUCACUCCUCUCUACAAACUCCGAAAACAUAAAAAAUGAAACAAGAAACGAUUCAAUUGGAAAAUGUUCAGAAGGUGGAAGAAGCAGAGGUUGUUCAAGAAACGGAGAAAAGAAAAAAAGUUCAUCAUGGAUUUGAUCUAAACAAAACGUUUUAUUAUGAAGAUGGAGGAGAGUUUCACCCUGGAGAUGGAUUUGUUCAAGAAACGGAAAAAGACAAAAACGUUCAACCUAAAUUCGAUUCAAAUGGAUUUACAGUUUUUGCAGAUGGAGAGCUAGACCCAAAUAAAGAAAUUCAAAAAACCAUAAUAGAUAUGUAUAAAAUUUAUUGGCCACACGUCUAUGGAGAAUUUCACCCAAAAAAGUAAUAAAUAGGUUUGCUUAAUUAGUUUUUGUUUAUUAAUUUCAUGCUGAAUAAGUUUUUCUAGAUUGCAUGAAAUAGAAAAACAAGUUUUUAUUGUGAUUUAAUAAUCAUAUCAAUAUUCAGGUUUUAUUGUAGUCGAACUACGCCUAAGUGUAUGCUGGUCCGGGGAGCUAUUACCAUAGUUAUUAUAGCCAUAAAACCUUCCACUCGUCUAAUAUUU